rnacentral:rRNA from 1 species
GAUGAACGCUGGCGGCGUGCCUUAUACAUGCAAGUCGAGCGGACAGACGAGGAGCUUUCUCCUCUGACGGCAGCCGCGGGCGUGUGAGUCACACGUGGGCCACCUCCCUGGAAAACUGGGCUAACUUCGGGAACCAAGACCCCAUACCAGAUAAGAUAGUAAACCGCAUGGCUCAAUAGUCCGAGACGUUUUUGCUGUCACUUAUAGAUUGAUCCGCGCCUGAUUAGCUAGUUGGUAAGGUAACGGCUUACCAAGGCAACGAUGCGUAGCCGACCUGAGAGGGUGACCAGCCACACUGGAACUGAGACACGGCCCAGACUCCGACGGGAGGCAGCAGUAGGGAAUCUUCCGCAAUGGGCGCAAGCCUGACGCAGCAAUGCCGCGUGAAUGAAGAAGGUCUUCGGAUUGUAAACCGCUUUUGUUCGGAAAGAACAGGUGUUGGAGAAACUGUGGAGGUCAUGACGGUACCUAAUGAGUAAGCCACGGCUAACUACGUG